AGCAAGGAAGCCAUCAAAGUCCAACAGGA
rnacentral:piRNA from 1 species